rnacentral:rRNA from 1 species
UACGUAGGGUGCGAGCGUUAAUCGGAAUUACUGGGCGUAAAGCGUGCGCAGGCGGUUCGUUGUGUCGGUGGUGAAAGCCCCGGGCUUAACCUGGGAAUGGCCAUGGAAACUGGCGAACUGGAGUGUGGCAGAGGGGGGUGGAAUUCCACGUGUAGCAGUGAAAUGCGUAGAUAUGUGGAGGAAUACCGAUGGCGAAGGCAGCCCCCUGGGAUAACACUGACGCUCAUGCACGAAAGCGUGGGGAGCAAACAGG